rnacentral:rRNA from 1 species
UACGGAGGGUGCAAGUGUUAUCCGGAUUCACUGGGUUUAAAGGGUGCGUAGGUGGGUCUGUAAGUCCGUGGUGAAAUCUCCGAGCUUAACUUGGAAACUGCCAUGGAUACUAUAGAUCUUGAAUACUGUGGAGGUUAGCGGAAUAUGUCAUGUAGCGGUGAAAUGCUUAGAUAUGACAUAGAACACCAAUUGCGAAGGCAGCUGGCUACACAAAUAUUGACACUGAUGCACGAAAGCGUGGGGAUCAAACAGG